AACGAACGCUGGCGGCAUGCCUAACAUAUGCAAGUCGAACGAGACCUUCGGGUCUUGUGGCGCACGGGUGCGUAACGCGUGGGAACCUGCCCUUAGGUUCGGAAUAACUCCCCGAAAGGGGUGCUAAUACCGGAUAAUGUCUUCAGACCAAAGAUUUAUCGCCUUUGGAUGGGCCCGCGUUGGAUUAGCUAGUUGGUAGGGUAAAAGCCUACCAAGGCGACGAUGCAUAGCUGGUCUGAGAGGAUGAUCAGCCACACUGGGACUAAGACACGGCCCAGACUCCUACGGAAGGCAGCAGUGGGGAAUAGUGGACAAUGGGCGGAGGCCUGAUGCAGCAAGGCCGGGUGAGUUAUGAAGGCCUUAGGGUUGUAAAGCUCUUUUACCCGUGAUGAUAAUGACAGUACCGGGAGAAUAAGCCCCGGCUAACUCCGUG
rnacentral:rRNA from 1 species